GCAGCCUUGGAAAGGCCGGCGGGGGAAGAGGUGGAAGGGGGCAAUGGGCGGGCAUAAGGAGUGGGUGGCGCUGAUUCCGGGGAGUGGGAGGGGAGGGUGGUGUGGAGAGAGAGGGCAGCUCCGCGGUGCUGGAAAAGGAGGAGAGGAAGGCGUGAGGCGGUGUUCCUAGCGAUCAUAGCCAUGGUUUCUAGAAGCGGCCACGAACGGAGAGGGAUACGCAAUGUUCCAACGAUGUCGCUGGUGCUCCCC
rnacentral:lncRNA from 1 species